rnacentral:rRNA from 1 species
GACGAACGCUGGCGGCGUGCCUAAUACAUGCAAGUAGAACGCAGUUGAGAACGGGUGAGUACGGCGUAGGUAACUGCCUCAACGCGGGGGAUAACUAUUGGAAACGAUAGCUAAUACCGCAUACUGUGAGAUGGACCUGCGUUGUAUUAGAUAGUUGGUGAGGUAAAGGCUCACCAAGGCGACGAUACAUGGCCGGCCUGCGAGGUGGAUCGGCCAAACUGGGAAUGAGACACGGCCCAGAAUUCUUCGGGAGGCAGACGUAGGGAAUAUUCGGAAAUGGACGGAAGUCUGACCGAGCAAAGCCCGGUGAGUGAAGCAGGUUUUUGGAUCGUAAAGCUUCGUUGUUAGAGAAGCGGUAACUAACCAGAAAGGGACGGCUAACUACGUGCCAGCAGCCGCGGUAAUUC